UACAGAGGUCCCAAGCGUUGUUCGGAUUCACUGGGCGUAAAGGGUGCGUAGGCGGUCGGGUAAGUCUGACGUGAAAUCUUCAAGCUUAACUUGGAAACUGCGUCGGAUACUAUUCGGCUAGAGGAAUGGAGGGGAGACUGGAAUACUUGGUGUAGCAGUGAAAUGCGUAGAUAUCAAGUGGAACACCAGUGGCGAAGGCGAGUCUCUGGACAUUUCCUGACGCUGAGGCACGAAAGCGUGGGGAGCAAACAGG
rnacentral:rRNA from 1 species